GCGGCGUGCCUAAUACAUGCAAGUCGAACGAACGGAUAAAGAGCUUGCUCUUUUGAAGUUAGUGGCGGACGGGUGAGUAACACGUGGGUAACCUGCCUCACAGCUGGGGAUAACAUCGAGAAAUCGAUGCUAAUACCGAAUGUGCUGAACAUCAUAAGAUGUUCAAGUGAAAGACGGUUUCGGCUGUCACUGUGAGAUGGACCCGCGCUGGAUUAGCUAGUUGGUAAGGUAAUGGCUUACCAAGGCGACGAUCCAUAGCCGACCUGAGAGGGUGAUCGGCCACAUUGGGACUGAGACACGGCCCAAACUCCUACGGGAGGCAGCAGUAGGGAAUCUUCGGCAAUGGACGAAAGUCUGACCGAGCAACGCCGCGUGAGCGAAGAAGGCCUUCGGGUCGUAAAGCUCUGUUGUUAGAGAAGAACAUGGGUGAGAGUAACUGUUCACCCCUUGACGGUAUCUAACCAGAAAGCCACGGCUAACUACGUGCCAGCAGCCGCGGUAAUACGUAGGUGGCAAGCGUUGUCCGGAAUUAUUGGGCGUAAAGCGCGCGCAGGCGGUCUCUUAAGUCUGAUGUGAAAGCCCCCGGCUCAACCGGGGAGGGUCAUUGGAAACUGGGAGACUUGAGGACAGAAGAGGAGAGUGGAAUUCCAAGUGUAGCGGUGAAAUGCGUAGAUAUUUGGAGGAACACCAGUGGCGAAGGCGGCUCUCUGGUCUGUUACUGACGCUGAGGCGCGAAAGCGUGGGGAGCAAACAGGAUUAGAUACCCUGGUAGUCCACGCCGUAAACGAUGAGUGCUAAGUGUUAGGGGGUUUCCGCCCCUUAGUGCUGCAGUUAACGCAUUAAGCACUCCGCCUGGGGAGUACGACCGC
rnacentral:rRNA from 1 species